rnacentral:rRNA from 1 species
ACUCUCCUGUGACCGAUAGCGAACCAGUACCGUGAGGGAAAGGUGAAAAGCACCCCGAGAGGGGAGUGAAACAGUACCUGAAACCGUGCGCCUACAAGCAGUCGGAGCCCCCGAGCGGGGUGACGGCGUGCCUUUUGUAGAAUGAGCCAGCGAGUUGCGGUAUGCGGCGAGGUUAAGGUUUGAACCGAGCCGCAGUGAAAGCGAGCCUUUAAGAUGGCGAUAGAGUCGCAUGCUGCAGACGCGAAGCCGGGUGAGCUAUCCAUGGGCAGGCUGAAGCGGGGGUAAGACCCCGUGGAGGGCCGAACCCACUUCGGUUGAAAACGGAGGGGAUGACCCGUGGAUAGGGGUGAAAGGCCAAUCAAACCCGGAGAUAUCUCGUUCUCCCCGAAAUAGCUUUAGGGCUAGCCUCGGCCGUUCUCCGACGGCGGUAGAGCACUGGAUCGUCGAGGGGGCUUCACCGCCUACCGACACGAACCAAACUCCGAAUGCCGCCGGAUCAGAGGCCGGGAGUCAGAACAUGUGGGCUAAGCUGUGUGUUCGAGAGGGAAACAGCCCAGACCGCCCGCUAAGGUCCCCAAAUCCAUGCUGAGUGGCAAAGGAUGUGCGUUUGCCUAGACAACCAGGAUGUUGGCUUAGAAGCAGCCAUGCAUUUAAAGAGUGCGUAACAGCUCACUGGUCAAGUGGACAUGCGCCGACAAUUCACGGGGCUAAGCAUGGUACCGAAGCGGCGGACUAAUCUAUAUUAGUGGUAGGGGAGCUUUCCCCGCAGCGGAGAAGCCGAGAGGGCGACCCUCGGUGGAGCGCGGGGAAGUGAGAAUGCUGGCAUGAGUAACGAGAGCGGCGCGAGAAACGCCGCCGCCGUAAGCCUAAGGGUUCCUGGGCAAGGCUAAUCCUCCCAGGGUCAGUCGGGAGCUAAGGCGAGGCCGAGAGGCGUAGCCGAUGCGCAACAGGCGGACAUUCCUGUACCGCCUGCGGACCGCUAUCACCGACGGGGUGACGGAGAAGGGUAGCCGAGCGGGGUUCUGGACGUCCCCGUGAAAGCGCGUAGGGAGCAUCGCAUGGAAAUCAGCGGUGCACGUAUCCUGAGACGCGAGACGAAAGCUUAUGCUGAAGUCGGCGAGCCCAUGCUUCCGAGAAAAACCUCUAGGAAGGGACGCAGGCGCCCGUACCAAAACCGACACAGGUGGGCAGGUAGAGCAUACCGAGGCGAUCGGGAGAACCAUGGUUAAGGAACUCGGCAUACUGACUCCGUAACUUCGGGAGAAGGAGUGCCCCUGGCGGUGACGGGACUUGCUCCCCGAGCGGCCGGGGGUCGCAGCGAAACGGCCCAAGCGACUGUUUAUCAAAAACACAGGACUCUGCAAAGCCGUAAGGCGACGUAUAGGGUCUGACGCCUGCCCGGUGCUGGAAGGUUACGCGGAUGGGUCAGCCGCAAGGCGAAGCUCUGAAGCCAAGCCCCAGUAAACGGCGGCCGUAACUAUAACGGUCCUAAGGUAGCGAAAUUCCUUGUCGGGUAAGUUCCGACCUGCACGAAUGGCGUAACGAUUUGGGCGCUGUCUCAACCAUGGACCCGGUGAAAUUGUAUUAUUCGUGAAGAUGCGAAUUACCUGCGGAAGGACGGAAAGACCCCGUGAACCUUUACUGCAGCUUGACAUUGAUCGUUGGCUCGGCGCGUAGAGGAUAGGCAGGAGGCUGCGAAGCCCGGGCGCCAGCCCGGGCGGAGCCGACCUUGGAAUACUGCCCUCGUCGCGUCGGCGAUCUAACCCCCGGCCGUGAUCCGGCGGGGGGACCGUGUCAGGCGGGUAGUUUGACUGGGGCGGUCGCCUCCCAAAACGUAACGGAGGCGCGCAAAGGUCCGCUCAGAACGGUCGGCAACCGUUCGCAGAGCGCAAGAGUACAAGCGGGCUUGACUGCGAGGCCCACAAGCCGAGCAGAGACGAAAGUCGGUUCUAGUGAUCCGGCGGCACAGAGUGGAAUGGCCGUCGCUCAACGGAUAAAAGGUACUCCGGGGAUAACAGGCUGAUCUUGCCCAAGAGUCCACAUCGACGGCAAGGUUUGGCACCUCGAUGUCGGCUCAUCGCAUCCUGGGGCUGAAGUCGGUCCCAAGGGUUGGGCUGUUCGCCCAUUAAAGCGGUACGCGAGCUGGGUUCAGA